CAGAUAGUACUAUUGGAUAUUGGAAAAUCAUUAAUUAGCAGUAUAUCUCUAGCUUGCGAUAUAUGUGUCGGUAACUCUAUACUCUAUGAUGUACUCGCUGUUUGCAAUAUAAAUUGUUUUAAAAUAUGCACUUAAAUAUAUUUUAAUACAUAAUAAUAGUUAUGUAAUUAAGUUUGAAUUUUAGAAAUAUACCCUCCGCAAAUAGUAACUUCCCAUAUCACAUACCUUUAGGUGAGUAUAGGAACAAUAUUAAUCUCUAUUUCUGGUUUUUAUUCUCGUUUUGGAAUUUUUUAUGAACAUAAAAAUCUAUUUAAUAUAAGCUAGAUAGCUAAAAUAUAUUAUGUAUGCUCUCUUUAGUUUUAUAUAUAUAUAGCACCUAUAGGUGAAAUUAUUUUUUUAAUAAAAAUAUAUAAUCAAAAUUUUAAUUCUAGAAAAAGAUAAUUAACACAAAUUUUAUUAUACGAUCAAUAUAUAUAAAGCUGCAUGUAAAAAAUUAAAAUGUUGUAUAAGAGAAAAUAUAUAAAGUUAAAAUUUUAAAUAUUGAUUGUUUGAGUAAAACACAUUUUAUCGUGAACUUGCGGAUGGGUCAUGUGAACUUGAUUAAGACAAUAUCAAUUCCAUUCGUAGUAGUAAGCUUGACCAAACUUCUGUUAAAUAUCGGUUUAAAAUAAGUAAGGCCAACAAAAUUUUUAUUCGGAUUUGAAUGUCGUUCAUUCUCACAUAUAUUUGUUUAUAAAAUAUAUUAGUCUAAAUUGUUAAGUAGUAAACUGUAACAGAAAAAUGUACUUGUGUAAACAGUCUCUCAGUAACAUUUCAAAGUAAAAAAAAUGAAAAGAUAAAAAACUGUCCAGCUUAAUGUAUUUUAAAGUGUAAAUCAAAAGAGGAAAAAAACAAUUAGCAAGAAACUGUGCAUGUGUAUUGAUUUCCUGUGCAUCUGUAUGCAGUAUAUGUGAAAUAUAUUUACCAGUUGUGUGAAGUAGGCCUGUACGCGGUUCGGAUUGGUUCGGUUGGAGGGUAAUAACCGAACCAAACCGCAACUUGCGGUUUUCUAAAAUCUCAAAUCGCGACCAAACCGUUGGUUAAAAAAAAUCAACCAAAUCCACCCACGUAAUUGCGGUUGGAGUUGCGGUUCAACCGCUAAAAUAGUUUGACAAAGAAGUUCUAUCAUACACUCUGAUAUAAGUUUCCAUUUGGAGCAUGAAAUAAAUUACAGUCAUGGACACAUUGACUAAUUUAUAUUUGGCCUUGCUCAAAGAGUCCAAAUUUCAUUAAUUUAGUAACUUCUUUUUAUUUAUGUGAAUAUCUAUAUGUAAAUAUAUAAACAUAUAUAAUAAAUAUAUUUAAAUUUAUAUAAUGUGCGGUUGGCGGUUGCGGUUGGUUUUUUGCGGUUUUAAAAAAAAAUGAAUCCGCAACCAAACCGCAAAUUAAUGGUUAUUAAAAAAUCCAUCCGCGAUUGCCCACAUUGUGCGGUUAUCCAUAAUACACGGAUCGGUUACGGGUGGUGGUUGCGGUUGAUGCGGUUGAGCGGAUUGAAUGUACAGCCGACUGUGAAGUAGUGAUGGUCUGAUACUCACAACUCACGAGCCGCGGAUUAUACAUACACACAUACAUUCAUUCUUUAAAGGGUUGAAAUGAGUCAGACUUUAGACCAUCCAUCAAUAUAAUAUCCAUCCACACUUUGGUGAUCUUGUACCUCUCCAGAUCUCUCUCUAGCUCCUCUCUAUAAAACCUCUCUCCCAUCACUCCCUACUAUUCUCCCUUCAAUCCCCACCUUUUUGUUCAAUCACCAUGACUGAUCCUUACUCACAUCCCUACCCUCAAUGGUUCAGAUUCAACCCCCCUCCUCCCCCUCACCACCAUACCUACUUUUACUCUUCUCAGAACCACCCUCCUCAGCCACCACUCAACAAUUACAUGUUCUACAAAACAAACCCUCCUCCUCCAACUCCAACUCCAACUCCAACCUCACCUCCUCUCAGAGAAGCAUUACCUUUACUCACCCUGAGCCCCAUGAGAAAACCAGAUCAAGAAAUUACCACAGCUGCUCAAAUUCCACAAAUACCCUCCUCCUCUUGCAGCACAAGCGGCCUUGACCUCAACAUGAUCCCCACCUACAUGGAUGUGGAUGAGUACAAGAAAAGCAGCCGAGAGGCCCGAGAUGAUAUCGACGAAGAUGUGGAUGAAAAUGAUGAACAAGUGACGGUAGCACUGCAGAUAGGGCUUCCAAACCCUAGCCCUGCCGAUAUGGCUGCGUAUAAUAUGCAUCAUCUUUUAACCACUUCCAAUUGUUCCUCUUCAUCAAACACUAAUUCCACCACUAGCGCGGGUCAUUUGUCAGCCAAUUGCUGUUAUUCCUCGAAUAAUAGCAGUCAUAAUACGAGUUCCGGUUCAGGAGGGAUGCAUAUCAGCAAGUAUUGGAUUCCAACUCCUUCUCAGAUUCUUAUUGGGCCUACCCAAUUCUCCUGCCCAGUUUGCUACAAGACCUUCAACAGAUACAACAAUAUGCAGGUACUUCUUCUUGUUAAUUUUCCGUGUUGAAUUUUGUUAAUAGAUAGAAAAGUGUGUAGAUGAAAUGAUGAAGGUGUAGAUCGACAGUAGAGAGGUAGUAGUGAUUGUAAAUGAAUAAACAAGUGUAUUCAUUUAUGGUUGAUUGAACAAGACAUGUUGCACAUACACACAGAGAGGAGAAUAGUAGAUAGCGCACACACUCUCCUUUUUGCUCACACUGAACAACACAGACUGCAUUGUUCUUUCCUUCCCUGUGCUUUCAGAUUGUACAAUCUCCUCGAAGUCCGUGCAGUCUCCUCUCUCUCUAGUCUCUUUUUCACCUCUUAUAAAGUUUACGUAAUAGUGCUAGUAAAACUCCUCACUUUGCUCUCCUUUUCAGACACCAAAUCUUCAGACUCACCAAGUCUUAACUACCAUUUGUUCGGUAAACCCCGCAGGUUUGGCAAGUACAAUUAGCCAAUUUUACAAACUAAUUUACCUGCCGCAAAAAUAAUUAGAAUCAUUUUUUAAUUUUAAUUAGCCCUUUUUAGCUGAUAUAGUAUGAUUUAGGGGUUCUAGAUUUGAUCAAUAUUUUAACAUGUAUAUAUAUUUCUCUGAUGAUAUGUAAUGGAUCCUUUGUCUUACAAAUCUAGGUUAAUUUCCGUUGAUUGUUUUUGAUAAUAUCAAAUUCAAUUGAACUAAAUGAUGUGUUCCGAAUAAUUUUGUCAAAAAUAGAUGAAAUAAUGACAUGUUCUCAAUAAUAAUGAAUUUUGUUGGGACUUCAAAUUACAAAGUUUAUACUUGUAUUCCCCAAAUUCAUAAAUUUUUCCCGAAUUUUAUAUAGAUUCGAAGUUACUGAUGAUGUGAGUAAAAAUAUAUUCAUUUUCCUGAUUUGUUUGAAAUGUGUUUAUACAUAUGUAAAAUUUAUUAUAUUUUGUAUAUGUAUUUAGAUGCAUAUGUGGGGGCAUGGAUCACAAUACAGAAAAGGCCCGGAAUCACUAAGAGGGACUCAACCUACAGGAAUGUUGAAACUUCCCUGCUAUUGCUGUGCCCCUGGAUGCAGAAACAACAUUGAUCAUCCGAGAUCAAAGCCCCUCAAAGAUUUCCGAACCCUUCAAACACAUUACAAGAGAAAGCACGGGAUCAAGCCCUUCAUGUGUCGAAAAUGUGGCAAAGCUUUUGCGGUGAGGGGUGACUGGAGGACUCAUGAGAAGAACUGUGGGAAGCUUUGGUACUGCAUCUGCGGGUCAGAUUUCAAGCACAAGAGAUCCCUGAAAGAUCACAUCAAGGCCUUUGGACAUGGCCACGCAUCCUAUGGUGGUGGAUUUGAAGAAGAAGAUGAUGACCCUGCAUCCGAAGUUGAACAAGAUGAUGACGAUGAUAAUGAUCAGUCCUCGUCUUUGCAGUGAAUCAUCAAUCGUGCUGAACUCUCUCUUAAAAGUAUUUAAAUGUGCACAAACAUGCAGAAGAUGUACAAUUUCUCUUUACAUUUCAGUGAUUCUAAUUAGGUUCCGUAAUUAAGGUUUAAGCACGUACUCUCAUCUAGCUUAAAAUUUAGUUAUGUUUAUCUAAAUCCCUCGCCCUACCUUGCUAAUUUCAUGAUCAUGGCCUGUAUUAGCUAUCAAUUGUCAAAAUUUCAAGGUUUUAAUGAUCCUGUAGUUUUGUUUUUCAUGCAAAAUAGAUUAAAUAUAUUAUAUCCCUCUACUAAUUAAUAUAUAUAGUUAGGAAUAAGUGUACUGAAUAUCUGCAUGCCUCCUUAUUUCCCUUCUCUCUAUAUCUGUUGGCAUCAGAAAUUGGGAAGCCUACGGGGAUCGAUUGACAUGGGAAACAUAGCACCACAAAGCUCGGGAAAGCGAAGAAAGACAAUAGUGCAUGGAAACCGGUAAUUAUGCAAUAUAGUAAAAAAACAGUACUUAUAUGUCAUUCUUAUCAGUUUAUAUGAGCUAGCUAGCUAGCUAGCUAGGACGCCUAACUACUAACUUAUGAUCCGCAAUACACAAUUUAUUUAUUUAUAAGCUGCGUUGUCAGAGCUUGGAUGUUAGGAUAAAUUAAGGAUGGGUGUCUGCAAACAAUUUAUAUAUUUUUUCAAAUAGAAUAGGGAACUUGUAUAAGAUUUGAGGGUAUAGUAACUUAUAUGAGAAAACUGGAGAACCUAUCCUAACAUUUGAAGAUAAUAUUACAAAAUAAUUACUAUACAGCCCUUUUUCUACAUGAAACUAUAUACUAUUAAGGUUUGAAUACUUUCAAAAUCUACAGGUAUCCUUAUCUGAAGGCAUCAGAUAUUUUCUAAUUCUCUUAAAUUUUGGGGGAGCUGAUUCCAUAAUGUCGUAUGAGAGGCAGUUCAAGUUUGCUUUAUAUAACGGCUCGUGAUAUUAGUAUAGAUACGGGAUCGAAGUUUGUCGAACCAACACCAGAUUUAUAUCGGACUGAAACUGAGCGGCUCUUUAAAAUUUAGGAUGAAUAUUAAAUAUAUGUAAAAUAUAUUUACAUAUAAUUAAUGAAUGAUUCUUAUAUAAAUGUUUUUUCCAAUUGCCAAAUAAGGGUACUUGUUUAGGCAUUGAGGGAAUUCCUUGGAAACAAAAUUUGUAACAGAUUUUGAAUACCUAGCUAAACAAGUCACCUAGCUAGCUAGCUCAUUUCAUCAACAGUUCUCUAGAAUGUUGUGAAUAAAUUAUCUACACUCUGGAACAGAUAUGAAUAUGAUCAAAUAUGAAUAUGAUCAAGAAAAGCUUUAUACUAGGCAAACAAUACUGUACUAGGUACUAAUAUCUGCUCAAAAAACAAAACAACACUCAUACACAUAUUACCGUACACUGUGUUUUAUUUACUCCUGUUUGAUUAAUAUUUAGUAAUGUAUAUUUUCUGGAUAAUUUUCAAAUGAACUUUUUACACGAUAUCUCUUGGAAGUGGAACUGAUUAUCAAUUGCAUGAUGGCUUUAGAAAGUAACACGAGUAAAUGAUCGGAGAAAUUGAAGGGAACGUAAUGGAGGAUCAUGCAUGUACUCAUUAUGAGCCAGGGCGUGGAGGUUAUAUUAGAGCAAGUCCAAGAGUGCCCUAAAAUCAUGUCCUAAAUCAAAAUUUAAGGCAUUUGAAGUAAAAUGGUGCUCCAACAAUGUCCUAGUGAUGCCUCAAAACACUAGGACAUCUAACAAAUGCCUUAUUUUUGAGGCACAAUCAUGCAUGCCCUAAACCAUUUCUAUCAAUAAAAUAUUACUCCCUCCGUCCCCAAAUUUAAGGCAUUUGAAGUAAAAUGGUGCUCCAACAAUGUCCUAGUGAUGCCUCAAAACACUAGGACAUCUAACAAAUGCCUUAUUUUUGAGGCACAAUCAUGCAUGCCCUAAACCAUUUCUAUCAAUAAAAUAUUACUCCCUCCGUCCCCUUUUACAUGUCCCUUUUGAAAAUUUUUUUUGUCUCAAAUUACUUGUCCACUUCUCUUUUCAAAGCAACUUUUUGUAUGUUUUUUCAAAAUGUAACAACUUCCAAUGUUUGACUAGCAUAUAUAUAUACACAACUCUAUCUAAUUCAUCACAUUUACUAGGUAUAUGUAUGAAAGCAAGAUAUCCACCUAACAUUUUCUUAAGAUGCGUUAUUUUUUCAAAAGGGACAAGUAAAAGGGGACGGAGGGAGUAGCUUACUCACAUUCCAACACACCUCCCUUCUCUUUCUUUUUCACUUCCCUCCAACAAUAAUUCAAAUAUACUAUUAUUUAGAUAAUAAGGCACAAUAUUAAGGCAUAUUGUUGGAGUUGUUAUGUUAAAAUGAUGUCCUAAAUCACUAGGACAUUAUUUUUUAUUAUAUAUAUAGGGCACUUCCUAGGACAUUGUUGGACUUGCUCUUAUAACAGAUCGAUGACGAGAUAUGUAAAGAGAUAUACUUAAUUAAACGAUUAAUAAGGAGACAAUAACAAGAUUUCUUUAACUUUUACUUUUAGGAAUGAUGAUGUUGUUACAUGAAUCGGCUUGGUUGAUGAAUGCAAGUGGUUUUUCUUUAUCAGGAUUCAAUCUUUCAUGAUUCAUUUUUAUAUGUUUCAAAAUUUACAAAGACCAAUGAUGUAUAAUCAGUUUAAAUAAUUUCACCAGCAUUUAAGAAUCCCUAACUGAAAGGAAUAUUGGAGAUGAUGAGCAGAUAUAUAUCAGAGAGCUAGUCGCGUUUGUUUAAUUGAGAGUAGAAAGAGAUAGGCUUUUCAUCCUGCAAAUAUAUGCAGCAGCUUUUGGGGUGCAUAUGAUGCUCUUUUGCUUUAAUAAGUGGAGGGAUGUUGUCUACUGUGCUCAUGGAUGGAACUUAUUUAUACCCUUUAAGUUUCACCUUUCUAUCAACUUGUUUUUUUAUUUCUUACAUAGCGUGCGGUUGUUUGCGUGUAUAUAUCAAGGAUUUGGGAUCACAUGAAUAUAUCAUAGUAUAUGAUCAGUACUGUCUGAUUAAUAAAAGAUACCAAAUUCUGAUCAAAUUGUGCACGAGAAUUAAAAGAUGCAUGCAGUAUAUAUAGUUACAAACCUGUGGCAAGAGCUAAUUGUAUUGUGCUAUCGGGUUUAUCAUCUGUUAUCCAGAGUCCUAAUUUCGAUCCAACUAGAUAUUAAUUUUAUCAGGACGGUACUACCCUCUGAACUUAUAAACAUAUUCAAGAAAACCGAGGGCAAAAAAUCUGAGGCAUUUAUUGUGGAGCCCUAAGUUUAGUUAGUUGGGAAAUACUACAACGUAACACAGUAUAAAAGUACUGUGCAAUUUACAUAUACUGCUGCAUACUGCGAGUGAUGAUGGUCAAAUGGGUUUUUAGCUACAAGCUGCUACAGUGGUUGCAUACACAAUAAACCAACCUUGCUGACUUGUGGCUGCUGUUGUUUGAAAUGACGUUUCAAUAAUUCUCUUUUUCAUGUCUUUAAUUUUCCACGGAUUUGAAUCUAUACAGGCAUAUCAGUCUGUGAUUUUUUGUGCUGGUACAUAGUAAGGAGCAUAUGUUUGUAUUCUUGCACAGAAGUCUGAAAACCAUAAUUGUAAUAGUACCUCUAUCAUCAAGAUUUAGGAAGAAAGGAAUACUAUGAAGACGACAACGAAUCAGCCAUACAUACAUGUGUAUAUGUAUAGCCUAUACAGCAGGGCUGAAAACAUGUAACAUCACUGUUCAUUGUACAAAGCAAAUUCGUUGCUAGCUUUUCCAAAAAUAUUAUUCAAAAACAUAAGAAUAAAACAAAUAUAUUAGGAAAAAAUUCCCCAUGAUUAUUUUAAAUCUUUUUAUAUAAAUUUCAGCAACAAUAUCCUACUUCGAAUUAUAUUAGAUAUUACAAACAUCAUAGAAAUUGAAAGAUGAUUAUUAAAUUAAUAUAUGUGAAAUAAGAAAUAGUGAUCGCUAAUUUGCUUGUAUGUAUAAAAUGGCUCAAGGAAAACAUUUUUAGAAUAGUGUUUUUGACUAUAUGGUUUUUUUACUGAUCUCUCUUAUUAUGGUUACGUAUAUGCAAGAUUCAUUAUCAGUUCACUAUUGCUAUCUCUAAAUUGAAUGAGUUUGCUCCCUUGUCUCGAAAGGAUCCGAGAAAUUUCUCAUUUUAUUUAAAGUAAUAUCAAAUAUGAUAAAUCUAUAUAUUGAUUACACCCUUAUAUGAUAUAUCAUGCUCAAGUUUAAAUUUAGGAUUUGUAUGUUAAUGUCCCAAAUUUUGAAUAAAUAUUUUCUUAAUUACACAUGGAAUAUGAAAGCAUAUAUUGCAUGAACCAAUGUUGUACAUUUUUUGUUUUUGAUAUCAAUUAUUACAAUUUAAUUACAUGUAUAUAUAAAUAUUAUAGAUUAUAUAUUAUGAAAUACAUAAUAUAUAUGUAUGUUAAGACUAAGACUAAAAUUUAGAAAAUAAUGUUAACAAAAUUUAUACAAAAAUAUUAAUUAACUAAUAAUGUUUGAUAAUAAAUAUAAUUAAUAUUAUUUAUUUGAUGUAUACACACUCGUAUAUUUAUUAAAACCCCAGUUUCCUAUUAUAAAAAAAUUACAAGCCUUUUUCAAGUGAAAGUCAUUCUAAUAUAGAUAUCUCAAAAUAGAUCUAGAAUUUAUUUUUUCCCAUGAACAUCAAACAAAAAACUGAAACGCAUAUUUAUAAUUCCAAAUUUUAUAAAAAUAUUUUUAUAAAUUUUAAAAUAACGAGAGAUCAUAACAAAAUUUGAUUUAAGGAGCGAGGGAUGCCCCUCUGGCCAUUGCUAGAUGUCAUCAAGCCAUGUACGGAGGCCCAGUGAUGAACAAUAUGUUGAGUAAAUAAUUGAAAGGGGGAGGGAUGCCUCAAGACUGGAUCACUGGACAUAAAAAAACCCGUCGCUGACCGGCCGGUCCUUCUCCGUCACUGGAAGUCCUGUUAGAUAUGCAUGCACUUGUAUUAACUGUCAGGUUUUGUCCAUGCAAGCCAUGUGCCCAUCCAAACUGCACAGCUCCAUCUACUAUUGUUGUGCGAUAGCUUUAAUUAUUUCAAAGCCAGGCAGAACUAAAGCAUUCAUUUAUGUACUCAUGUAGUCUUGUGGACCUCUCCUCCAAAUUAUCUUUAUUUCGAUGUUUUCUCUUUUCUGUUACAAUAUUCAGUGCAAGUCAUGUAGUUUCUGCAUAAUAAUAAAACAUGUAAACUGAGCUUCGUGCAUGGCAUGUAAAUGUUAUUCUAUAAAAGACCAUGCAAUUGCCUUCUGUCAAACAGCAGCACUGGCUUGUGUAAAAUCCCAAUGCCCUCUUUUCUCUUCUCUCAUUUCCCAUACUCCAAUCACAAUCACAUAGUCUUUGAAAAAUCAGUUUGGUGGUCACACCUAGUAGUAUUUAAUAGUUUUUGUGAUGGGCUUGACAAGGAGACCAAGCAUUAGUGAGGCAGGAGAAUAUGUAUGAAUGUAUGUAGAUAUGUUUAUUCAUUCCAAACCUGUAUUUGCAUUCCAAUACCAGAGGGGACAACAGUGUCCCCCUUGACCCGAAUCUCUAACCUCUCUUCCGUGUUUUUUUCCCUUUCUAGACUCCCUCGUUUUUGUAAUCCCAAUGCAUGCAUGGUUUUAGGAGCGUUUUAACUUUUAAUAAUACUCCAUACUCUAGUCUCUCUAAAUUGUGUGAAACAAAGAUUAGCUAAAGGUUCCUGCCUAGCACAUAAACAGCACAAUAAAAAGGACGAGUUAAUUUUAUGAUGAAGGUCAGGGAAUUUCGGUGAGUAGUCUAAGCUCGAUAGUUCUGACUGAAUUCUUAAAAUAAACAUUUUUUAAAAAUAUUAAACCUAAAUUUAAAAAAUGUAAUGCAUAGUUCUAUAUGUAUGUGUUUUAAUACCCUAAUAAUGGUGUGUCCUGGCCUGUUCGUCCCCUGCUUUAAGUCCGUGCUUAAAGUUAAAGUUGCUUGUGAUUUUAAACUGAAAAACGUCUAUUUGUGUAAUAAGUAAAAAACUGACUUAAAAAUAAAAAUAAGUCAAGAACUGACUUAAAACUAAAUGUUAGUUUGAGCUAUUUUUCAAUGAUUUAUAUUUUUUAAUUUUUUUUAUAAAUAUUACACAUAAAUCAUAAUUUACUCAUAAAUCACUUUUAUUUUUAUUUUUACUUUUUCUAUAACACAUAACAAAUAUUUUAAGUUAUCUGCUUAUCAUAUGAACAAGUGACAUUAAACUCAGUCAAAACACCUCAAGAACUUAUUCUGAAGUGGCCAGGUUUGGGGAUUAUUUGUAGGCGCGCACAUAGCAUCAUUGUACUCCAUAUCUUAUUGUUUCUGGGUUUGAAAAUCAACUUUAGAAACGCAACCUGUCUUUUUCACUUUAAUUUUAUGAAAUUGUAGAUAGGACCUGAGGACAAUAUGUAUUUUAAGAGGUCCCAUUUGCGAAAGAGAAAAAGUGGAGAAAGGUAAAAAAAUAAUCUUGACCCAUGAUCGCCUUUGAAAAGAUGGAAUUGUAUGUAGUACCCAGUACUGUCACUCUGUCAGCGUGUUUAAUUAUACUACUAGUAAUAAAUAGGAGUAUGAGAAACUCAAAGGAAACAAAAUAAUGCUUUUGAACUAGUAUUAUAACUAGAGGGAUCUCUUUUCACCAUGCAUGAUAUAUAUUAUCCCUGCCAUAUCUAACACCCGGCCCCCUCUUGUAAUCCAUCUACUUGAUUCUGCUAAAGCUAUAGUAGUUUAUCAUUAUGGUCAGUUUUAUUAGAUUCCCCAUCUAGUGAUGUUGUAGAGUAGUUAUCUUGUUGGAAGAAUAGAGGGAAGAAGAAGAAGAAACUUCAUUGUGAAGAAAGAAAGCGUACAUGUAUCACCAAAGACAUAGCACUAGUACUUAUACGUACAUAAGCCACCCAGCUGAUAUACCUCUUUUAACCUAAUUAUUGAACUACAAUAACUUUGGACAUACCUAAUUUUAACUUGAAGGUUGCCUGAAUUUUUAAGAGCAAGGGCUAUGACCUGGAGCCGGUUUGGUAGAUACUACUUAUUGAUUUAAUGUGUUAAGUGAUAGGUUUAAAUUGACUGUUUUAAUAAUUUAUAUCAUAGAUAAUAUAUGAGUUAUCAAAAUAAUAAAAAAAAAUUGAUAGAUUUUUUAUUUUAAUUCUAAAAUUAAUUUUUUAAUCAUAAAAAUAAAAUAAACUAAUUAAAUAAAUACAUCCAGGUAGCUUCUGAUUUUAAAUUAAUUUAUUAAAUUUUUUCAUUUUAAAUCAUCUUAUAACUUUAUUACAUAAACAUAUAAUUUUCUGCUUAAGAUUCGGGAAAAAAAAUUCCAUACAGACACACAUCUCAACAGAGGAUUGGAUACUACUACUAUAUCGUGCUACAGAAUUAUAGAUCUCAACUCCCAACACUUUCAAGGCGUACGAUUUAUAUAACAAUUAAAUAUUUCCAAUUAUUUUCUCGUUAUGGCCCCCAUGAGCGAAGGGGAAUAAGGUAUAUGUCUCCUGGCCACUGUUCUAACAUUAAUAUAUUCUUUUAUACCUAGAUAGUUCUAAUUCAAAGGAAUAUAUGAGAACGCAUAAUAUGCAUUACUUUGAGUUUUUGACUUUUCUGAUAUUUUCUUUUGUAGUAAAAUUAUUUCUUUUACUUUAAUUUAUUACAAUCAUUCUUGUGUUUUCCAUUCAUAUUGAUCUCUUCUUGAAUUUUAUUCAAAGAUUCAGGUCGCACAGUACAGCUUUCCACUUAAUAUUUGAUUACCUUAUUUUUUUUUUAUUUAUUUGAGUCAUAUAUGAGGAUUUGAUAAGAAUAAGACAUUAUUUGUCAUAUACUCCGUAUAAUACUCUAUGUAAAAUUACUAAAUUAUAGUGCAAGUUGUCAUUGUACACGUCACGUGUUUCUCUUUUCCUUGCAAAUUGAAAGAAUUAAUUCGUGCAAUAUAUGCACAUCUACUGAGUACUGACACAUAUAUAUCGAUAUAAUUUAUGCACUGGAUCCAUUUAUGUAAUUCUAAAUUAGUGUAUAUAAUUGCAUCUCACUGGGAAAAAAAAAAGGGUACUUCCAUACGUUCGAUUUUAUUUUUUUUAGGAAUAUAUUGGGACGGUAGAUGGUAGAGCCUAGAGUAGAAUCAUUUCUUUAAAUAGGAGCUAGUAGGUUCCACAACAAAGGCCUAAACGAGGUCCUAGUGGCUAUUAGGCUAAAAUGAGGUUAUAACUAUUUUACAUAUAUUUUCUUUAACAUUAUAAAUUACAGCUUCUAUUUCUUUUUUACUUCAGACAAAAAUAUGUAUCAAUAGAAAAAUAAAGUUGAACUAACAAAAGAAAAAUGGAGAAUUUAGCAGCAGGCCAGAAAUUAGAAUAUCUGGAUACUUGCAAGUUCCAACGAAACUGUGAUUGAAAAACUCUAGAACUUAAUUAUCAGCAAUGUAUAACAAGAAAACCACAUGUUACAUGAAAUUUCUCUUGAAAACCUACUUUAUCUCUAGGGAAAACUCAGUUGAUUUGCUACAUGAGAGGACAUACAUGUAUAGUCCACCCCUGUGAAGGUAUAUUAUUCCAUUAUGACCACCAGUGGGCCUUUCCAAGAUUUCCCUUUGCUUUGUGUCACCACUUGAAAAGUAACUCAAAUAUUCUAACUAUACGCAAGAGCAUGAAUCAAGGUUCAUAUCUGAUUUGUGUUUCUUUAGUCAAUUCCAAACCAGUUAUGCUAUACAAAUCAUUCCUACCCUAAGCCUCCCCCACCAGCUUGACAAAGAAAGAAGAUGCAUCAGACAGCAAGAACAGUACUGUAAUUUGGGUAAGAGAAUAUGAAUUCCUUUUUCUAGGCAAUAAUUGUGAAAUUGCAAAGAAAUUCGUUUCUCAAGAUUCCCAUCAGUUUCCAUUACUGAAAUUUUGGCAAGAAAACGAUAGUUUCCCUUUUGCCGGAAAUUAAUGUGUUGGAGGCUAAAUAUGUUUUUCCUUCUACAAAUCCGUUGGGUUAUGAUUUACACAUAAUUUAUGUAAAAUGAUUGAUCGGCCAAUAAUACCCUAUAGGUUUACGACAUACUUCAAUCUCAACUCCAACUCAAAAUCAAGUGCAUGUGGAAAACUAAAGUAUUCAUCUUCUUUCCGGUAAACCAUUAUAAACUUCAUUAAUACACAUAGACAACAGAUCCAGAAAAUAGUACCUACAAUAUAAAUGUGAUCUUGUGUCCCGUCAUCAUUAGGGAUUCACAUUGCCAUUAGUCUGUUGCUCCUUGCCUUCAUCGCCAACUUCCAGUAUCCACAAAUUUCCAGUGCCAGGCAAAAUAAAACAAUCAUGAGUUAAACACUUAACUUUCAGCAAGAAGAAGAAAUGAUACUUGAGUCAAAAGAUUAGAUAGAAAAUUGAUCACUACCAUCUGUUAUCUAAAUUACCUCAAAACUUGCAGUCGAAACCAAAAUAUUACUGUAACGUCAAUGAUAUCAUUAGAUGAAUGAAUAUUAACAAUAUAAUGAUGAUAUGUCCACUUGCUACUUUUUUCUGAGAUCAUAAAAAUGAAAAAGUAUUUCUUAACUAAAUUUCCUAUUUUUAUGUGUCUCUGUAAGAUUUACAACUGAAUUUUCUAUCUUUAUGUGUGUCUGUGUGCGCUUGUAUCUUCUAGGCAUGCCAGAUUGCCGGUUAAUUAUUAUUUUUUUAUCAUAAUAGUUUUCUAAUCUUUUGGCAUGUGUGUGUGCCAGACGUGUGUGUGUAAAUCUGUAUUCAGUCAAAAUCUUAAAAUCAGAAUACCUAUUCAUUGAUAUCUUGAUACAGUUUAGAUCAUUCCAGCACAUAUGGGCAAACUGUUAGAUAGUAAGUUUCCUUUAACAAGCUUGUGCAUCCCCAUACUCCUGCAGGCUUGUAACGUCAAAUUGAUCAUUACUGAAUACUGGAAAGAACAAUACAGUAUGCAUGGUAGCACAUCUUUUAUUAACAGUUUCACAAAUUCAAAAGAAAAUCAUCUAAGAAAAUAGGGCACCUGCUAAAUUUUCUACCCGCAAUCAGUGGAUGAAACACUUUCUCUCUUUUGCUUUAAGUUAAUGUUCCUUUAUCUUUUCAUUUCUGAUACCCUUAAUAAAUUCAACUUUAACAAUGUAAUUAAAAGCUUACCUUUUUUCGUUAGUAAAGGAAUGAUGAGACCACACAGACAGCUGUAUUUCCAAUCAAUCUCUUCAAAGAUUUGCAUUUCCCACCUGAUAUCUUGAGAAUCUCAUUACCAAACGAUAAAACCGACUUCUGAAGAUUGAAAUCUCAGACAAAAUCUUUCAAUAACACACAAUAUAACAUCACUAGAGAAAGUCUCCCUUUGAUGCACGUCAAUGACUCAUAUACAGUAAAAAUGAUCAAACUGCCUUAGUUUUAUGGGUAGUAAUGAUUCUAUGCAUGCUAAACAUGUAAGGAAGUUGUAUUAUAGAAAUUCCCCCUUGUACAGUUAGUUGCACCAACAAGUUUCUGCACGGCACAGAGGAAUGCAGGAAAUAAAGUAAUAAACCACUGAUCACAAGACAGAUACACGACAAAGAUUUUUUAGCAAAACAAAAUCCAUUUGUAGAUUAUCUUAAUUUAGAAAAGGCUACCGGUUAAUAAUUAAACUUCCUGUACCAUGUCUAGGUCAUUCUUUCAUUUUCCAGAAAUCUAAUUCAUGCUAGCACACAGAUAUACCAUACACAUUUAUAUGAACACACACACAAAUAGAGAGGGAAGGAAAUUCCGACAACACUAUACUGUAUGGUGUAUGCUCAGCAGGAGAUUCAAAUGACCAGUUAUUGUAGGCUUUAGUUUUCAGCCCAUCUCUAUAUUUUACAACUUACUUUAUAGCUUCUAAUCUAUGCAUUUAUCCACUAGGAAUCUAAAAAGAAAAUUUGGGACAGUAGUUCAGCAAACCUAUGGUAGUAUAGUACUAGGUUAUCAUCAUUCUCUCUUCAAUUCACCUUGGAUGUCUCAGCUGCUUCAGUAAUUAUAUGUGUGACAUUUCCUUCUUGAGAUGUGACUUGACCGUUUCACUUGCUUAGUGCCAAACAGUACAGGGUAGUUGCUGCUUUACCAAUUAAACACUCUGAGACACAUGAUUAGGAAAAUUCCCAAUUACAGCCGCAGUUUACUGCCCUACAAAAAAUAACUCUUUCCGAGUCACUACAUCAGUGCUAGCAUCAGUCUUAAAAAACUAGAAUAUUUCAUCAUUACAACAUAUAAGACUAAAAAGUGCACAACAUGUCCAAUGACAUGAAGCGAACAUCAUUACAUAAAAAAUAGAGAUAAAGAGAAUGGGCGCGGGAGUAGAGCUACCCUUUACUUUAGACAAGGGUAAUAAAAACUCUACUUCACAAAGACACGAAAUCUCCCACGAAAAUAUCUUCAUAUUGGGUAUAUGAUGCAUAUACACCUCUGCUCACAAAAGCCAGGAUUCAAGUCAAAAUAAUCGUCUGAGUUCAUAAACAACAUUUAUAAAAAUUUAGUUUAUCAUACCUGCAGCCCGGAUUAAUAUACUUACUGCCCGGCUUUCAUUCAAAUUUAGAGAAAAUACGGUAAGUAUCCCGGGAUUAUAAUCCUAAACACAAACAUGACCUAAAUAUUAUUAAAUCCCAAAUCAAAGUAAAUGUCUCCUUUCAGCUGCAAGAGUGAUUGCUAACAAUGUAUCCUAUUUCGACCAAAUUAAUGUUAUAUUACGGAUAUCAACCGAACUAAGGCCAAAUGUAUUGUCGCUAAACCGAUAUAAUUUCAUUCUAUCACAUCUUGCAAACAUCUAAAUAUACAAAAACAUGCCCCAAGAAUUUGUACCUUCUAAAUAUAUAUAUACAAUUUAAAACAAAUUGAGUACCAAAUCACAUUAGGCAUAAUGAUAGAAGCCAAAAACACAGGAAGCAAAGCUCAUAUAAAGAUAAUUAAGCACAUAAAAAUACUAAAAAUAUAGACAGUGAUAAAAGAAUAACGAGAGAGCCGACCUCACUUCCAAGCACCGAUACAGUUCUCUUCCCCGACGACUGGUGAUUACAAGUUGUCUGUGUAGGCUUGUAUUAUAUGGACACAGAGUAAGUGGGCCGUUUUGGGCCUGGGGACUGGCUGGUCAUGUCUCUGUUUCUUUUGAUCCAACUUCACUUGCCAUUUUAAUAGGAAUUAAAUAUACAAAGUGUGAACAUAGGACAAUUUUUUGAAACGUAUAUUAUGAAAUAAAAUGAUAUAAAAAAAUAUUUGGCACAAAUUUUAGUUAUUAAUUAAAUUAAAUUUUAGUUGUGGUUGAGAUAAUUCAAGAUAUUUUGUUUUGUGUAUUGGGAUAUGAAGCUACAACAAACAAUGGUUGAGAGUUUCCUUGUGAAUGUUUCUUUAAACUUACUGCAUCCUUGUGAAUUUUUCUUUCCUGCCAUCAGGCAUUAGGACUUGAGAGAAAGCAUGAAGUAAAAUUAAUUCGGAUUCACUUAAAUCUCUGUAAUAAUACAUGAUCCACUUGACAUCACCAUGAAGAACAGAAAUCUUGAGAGUUGGCUUUCAUUGUUGAUGGCAUUUGUCAGGUGAUUGCACAAGAUGCGUCAACAAUGUUGCGAUGACAGCCGGCUGCAAUUUUCGCUAUGCUGAAUCUGCUAGGUGAGCUUGUGCUGAAGCCUGAGUCAAAUCCUGUGAUUGAUGGAACAGAAGCAAAUUGUGACAUUGCUUCCAUUUGCCAAUCAUGCGUAGCAAUGAUUAUAACUGUAAUGUUUAAACUUACUAAUCCAUACUAUCAUUUAUCAUGUAUUUUCAACGUUGAUGAUAAGAGCUUCGACAAUCUCUCCCAAUUGCUCAUGUUAUUUGCGCAGUACAUCUAUUGUCUCCAAGCAAGUACCGCAGUUGUCUCCAAGCAAGUCCACCGACAAUUUUUAAGAAAUGUUGUGUCUCGAAAUGGUGAUCAUGAUGCUGGUAUGCCAUAAUAUCUAAUCAAGUUCAGGCCCAAAGUUUCUAUCAAGAGGAAAAAAGCACUGAGACACUAUGUCUUUGAUACUAAUUCUAAGCUCAAACGACACCUCUGCAUUUAUAUUUAUAUAUUUAAUAUAUUAGCAUGAUUAAAAUCUUUAUCCACAAUUCUUGCUACCACAAGCAAUUCUAUUUAAACUACAAUUAAUUAUAGGAUUUUAGGAGUAAAGCAUGAAUUUAGGAAUGUAAACAGAUACGCCCCCAUGGUGAGGAGGUGCUGAAAAAGAUACUAUAUAUCCGUGACGGAGUUUGAAUUCAGGACUUUGUUAUGGCACAUGUUAAAAAAAGUAAAGUGUAAUAACCAAGUGAUUCUGACAUAAAAACAUUUUAUGCCUUCAUGAACAGAGAAACAAACCUCAUAUGUGAGUGUACCAGCUAAGCCUAUGGUCUUACCGAAGAGUUUGGAAAUUGUGGGAUCGCCAUGUCUAGAUUCCACUGAUGCUACAUUCAUCAUACACAGGAAGCACCACGACCUGUUAGUAACCUGUGAUAUGUACUCAAACCUGUCAGGAAAAAUCCAAACAAAUGUUUGUUACAGAGGCAUUACAAUAUUUGAAUGGCAUGGCCAUGAAGAAUAUUAAAAAUGUGCAGACAUGCAUAUAAUAUAAUAAUAUAAGAUGGGCCCACUCGGUGCCGGAUAAAAAUAAGACAUUGGUGCAUGAAAUAUACACAAUAACACAAAUGCAUUCUUUAAAAGAAUACUGUAGCUGUCUUAUACCCCGCAGUAGCAAGAGACAUAGCUCGACAAAUAAUGCAAGAACUCUACAUAAACUAUAAUGAGAGACUAACCAGGCUUCUGUAGAAUCUAUUGCAGAUAAAGCCACCUCAUGUGCACCACAAGGAACCUUUUGCAAUCGCAUGACCAUUAUCCUAUGCGGAGUCCCGCGGGAAUCCACCCCUGGGUACAUUACAACUUAUAAACAAACAAAACAGAUAUCUCUCAAACACGCGACAGUAACAAAUGCACAAAUAAUAAGUCACCUACGUAUGAAACAUAUUCAGACACAAGGACAUCUACACGUAGGCAUCAAGACAAUAUGAUAUAGCUGGCUUCAGAUACAUAACCAUAGUAACAAACUAACAAUACAAACCUGGUUGUCUUAACAUGGAUUAGAAAAUUUAAUACAAAUCUGACAUACUGCAAUAAUAAACGACAAAGUUCAGCGAUAUCUCGCGACAUAAAUGGACAAACAAGAGGAUUACAGAGAAUUCGCUACAUAAGAACAAAAUAUGUGGCCCAUCACAAAGCUUCAGAAAUUGAAGUUACUGCAUUACUACUGUGCCACCACCUAAGCCGAUGGCAGGAUGGUUUUAGCAGAGGAGCCACUACCAGUACCGCUCCUCCGCUGGCGGACGAAUGCAACAAAGUAACUGCCAAAUUCUUCGCUUGGCCUCUGCGGAUUGUCCCUAAAAAACUCUCGGCAACAUUCCACGACCCGUCUUGACAUCUUACCGGAUUCAAUGCCAAUAGCUUGUCGAAAAUCACGGCUUUUGCGAAAUGCAGCUACAGCAGCGGCGGAAGCUUUCUCGAUUUCAUCCGUGUACUCAACACUCAUUUUAAAAUCUGCAAUACCAUCAUCAACAGCACGUUUCCAUUCCUCCUGAUAGACUACACUACCUUUAAAUGCCUCGAUUGCUGCCCCACAAGCAGUAGCCACCAGCCUCUCAUAUUCGUCACCCGCCUUGAAUCUUUCAACACCUGCCGCUAUGAGGGAGUCCAUCUCAGCGCUAUUUUUAAAUUCUGCAAUCACAUCUGCGGGAGAAGAGAUCGUCGGAAGCCUCCCAUUAGGCUCAGAUACUUCAUCUUCUAGUAUUGCCACAUUCCUUUCAUCCAGGCUCUGGUCAGCUAGGGCUUCAGUCACCUUUCCCGCUAGACUUUCGUGUAGCACAUGGACAUCCUCCAGCUGUUUCAUAUACAUACCCCUUGCUCCCCUCAGCCUCUCUGCGAGAUUAUGCACAGACUCUAACAAUCCCUGCUGAUACUCCAGUUUGUGCUGCACCCUCUUAAAAUUGUUCACAGCCUCAGCAACCUGAUCCUCCAGCCGCAGCCGCUCAGCAGCUAACAUUUUAGCGUUUUCCUCCUUCACCUUCUUUAGCUCCGUUUCUACCUUCUUCUUACACUUCAACAACUUCUUGUUGCGUGAACGUUCCUUCACGAAGGAACUUGCCUGCCCAGACACUUCACCCACAAUCUGCAUCAUAUAUUGAUGUUUAGAUACCUAACAUAACCAACAUGCUUAUAAUCACAAGAAUAAUGAAAAGGUGUAAGUGAAGAUUAAACUUACCAAACUGGCAGCCCUCUCAGCCCGCUGCACUCGGCGGCGGAUGUGCAUCUGUCUAGCUUAUGCUGAUCAUCUUCCGUCAAGAAUUGGGAGAGUACCAGGCGCGGCGCGGUUUUGAACAAGUAACCGACCCGCUGACGCUUCGCGCCGGAUACAGGAUCUGUCUCAUACUCAUCGUCUUCAGAACUCUCAUACACUACUUGUUGACGAUAAUGACGUACUUGCCCCCGGUUCAUCAGUGCUCUUAAAAAACUAGAAUAAAUCAUCAUCACAACAUGUGUAAGACUAGAAAGUGCACACCAAGUCCAAUGACAUGAAGCAGACAUCAUUACAUAAAAUAUAGAGAAUAAAGAGAAUGGGCACGGGAGCAGAGCCACCCUUUAGUUUAGACAAGGGUAAUUAAAAAAUCUACUUCACAAAGACACAAAAUCUCCCACGAAAAUAUCUUCAUAUUGGGUAUAUGAUGCAUAUAACCCCUCUGCUCACAAAAGUCAAGAUUCAAGUCAAGAUAAUCUUCUGAGUUCAUAAACUAGAUUUAUGAAAUUUAGUUUAUCAUACUUGCAGCCCGGAUUAGUAUACUUACUGCCCAGCUUUCGUUUAAAUUCAGAGAAAAUAAGGUAAGUAUCCCGAGAUCAUAAUACUAAAAACAAACAUGACCUAAAUAGUAUAAAAUCCCUAAUCAAAGUAAAUGUAUCAGAUUUCAACCAAAUCAUUUUAUAUUACAAAUUUUAAUCGAACUAUGGCCAAAUGUAUUGUCAGGGUUCCGGAGAUGGUUGGAAAAAGUUGUGGUCAGGGUUCGAUCCGCGUGAGCGACGUACAUUUCUCAGGAAGCAAAGCUCUUAUAAAGAUAAUUAAGCACAAAAAUACCAAAAAUAUAGACAGUGGUAAAAGAAUAAUGAGAGAUGACCUCACUUCCAAGUUCCGAUACUGUUGUCUCUUCUUCGAACACUGGUGUGAGUACUCUGAAACUAGUUGUCUGUUUAGGCUUGUAUUAUAUGGAGACGGAGUAUGUGGGCCGUUUUGGGCCUGGGGAUGGGCUUCUCAUGUCUCUUUUUCUUUUGAUCCAACCUCAAUUGCCACUUCACAAAAUUGGAAUUUUUUUUAAACGUGUAUUAGAAAUAAAAAUAUAUUUGGCGCAAAUCUUAGUUAUUGAUUGAAUUAAAAUUUAGCUUACAAACUUUUAUAAGAUAUAAUUUUCAUACAAAACAAUUAUAUUUAUAUGUGAUUUUUUUAGCCUAUCGAAUUAUGGGUAAAACAUUCUAAAUAGUCAAAAUAAAAAAUGCUCAAAAAAGAUGCCAUUCUAAAAAUAAUAGCUUUUCUUGACUCUUAAAAUCAAAUUAAUCAAAUUUUGAGUGAAAUUAAAUAAUAAGAUUCAGCAAAAAUAGUUUAUAAUAAAUUAGAUAUUAGAUUCUAAAUCUAAUAUAUAGUACAAAUAAUGAAUACAUAAUGUUAAUUUUAUAGUUAUUUCAUUGUUGAUGGCAUUUGUCGUGAUUGUACAAGAUUCGUCAACAAAACCCAAAGGUUGCAAUUUUCGCUAUGCUGAAUCUGCUAGGUGAGUUGUGCUGAAGCCUGAAUCAAAUCCUGUGAUUGAUGGAACAGAAGCAAAUUGUGACAUUGCUUUCGUUUGCCAAUCAUGUGUAUUGUGUGGCAAUGAUUAUAACUGUAAGUCUGUAAUGUUUGAACUUACAAAUCCAUAUCCUUUAUCAUGUAUUUUCAACGGUGAUGACAAGAGCUUCAAGAAUCUCUCAAAAUUGCUCAUAUUAUUUGCGCAUUACAUCUGCUGUCUCCAAGCAAGUACCCCUGUUGUCUCCAAGCAAGUCCACCGACAAAUUUUUAGGUAAAUGUCGUGUCUUGAAAUGGUGAUCAUAAUGCUGGUAUGCCAUAAUGGGGCCGUUUGAGUAACCUUAUUUAUCAUAAAUAAGAGUUUAUUUACGGAGAGAAGUGCAUGAAACCUACUUUUUUCUAAAAUAAGCACUUAUUUUUUAAUCUAAAAACGAAUAUGAAAUACCGUUCAAAAGAAGCAAAAGAAGUGUUAUUAUGUCGAGUAUGUGAACACGAGAUUACAAUUAACUCAUAAGACUACAAGAUUCUGGAUAGUCCCAUGCAUUCAUAUAGAGAAUACAGUUAUGUAUUCUAUGACAUGAAAUUUAGAUAUAUGCAUGACCAACUCAUAAGAAACAAAUGCCCAUCUUCAUCAAAAUCGUCAAACAUUAAUUUCAUGCAUAUAUCUAAAUUUCAUGUCAUUAUCAAAUUACAAACAAAUGCCCAUCUUCAUCAAAAAUCGUCACAAACACAACUUCAUCAAAAUCAUCAAAUAUCAAAAUAAUAUAAUACAAAAAAUAUCAAAACUGUCUCAGGUAAUAAUCAAACACUUAGACCGCAAGAAUUUGAAGUACUAAGAUAUAUAAGAGGCGAAAGAGAUUACCAUUCUAUUAUGAAGAUGGGGAGAGAAGAAUAACAACUACAAUCAAGAUUCACCUCUGAAAUAAUCUAAAAUUUCGGUCAGUGAGUAUCAACACGUCUCUGUAAAGAAAGAUAAAAGAAGUAACAGAAGAAUCAGAGAUAAAACUCAAAGACAGACAUAAUAAUCAACAUUCAAAAGAUAUUAGAUUCAAAAAAAAUUAAAAAUAAAAAGAGUGAGAGUGAGAGAUACGACAUAAACAUCAUCAACACGAAGAAUGCAAUCAAACACAUCACAAAAUAAAAAAAAAAAAAAAAAAUCAGAAUCGGACUAAAUUAACAUUCAGGUUACAAAGCAGAUACAAUAUAUCGAGAAAUAUAUAGAACUUAGUGCAGAAGAAAGAGAUGGAAAGCGAAAAGGGGGUGUUUGAAUUUCAAAUUANUACGAGGGGGGAGAGGGAGAGAGAGCGAGCGAGCGAGGGAGGGAGGGAGGGAGGGAGGGAGGGAGAGGGAGCGAGAGAGAUACGACAUAAACAUCAUCAACACGAAGAAUGCAAUCAAACACAUCUAAAAUUAUAAAACAUAAAUCGAGAAAUAUAUAGAACUCAGAUAGUGCAGAAGAAAGAGACGGAAAGCAAAAAGGGCAUAUUUGAAUUUCAAAUUUCAAAUUAAUGAAAUAAAUGGGGAAGAAUAUGUGAUGUAUACACAUCUGAGAGAAAACCUAUAUUUGAAAUAUGAGGAGGAAGGGAGCACGUGAAGUGUGUGUAUGUAAGCAUGUGGCAUCAGUGGCACUCAAAUGUGAUAAAGCAAGGGGGAGGGACAUUGGAUGUAAAAAAGCAUCCAUAGAGCAAUCAGCAUUUAUCUAUUUAUAGAUUACAAAAACUUGAUUUAAUAAUAGUAACCUGAAUAACUCACAACAUAAUAUUCUCUAAACUGUUGUCGUGAAACAAAAACAGUUUAGGCACAGUUUUGAUGAUUCCACAAGACCACUGAAAUAUUUCUGAUACUAAUUUACUAGCACUUCUAAGUCUAACUCUCCUUUUCUCCCUAUUGACAAAUAUUAUUAAGAGAUAACUAUCUCAACUUGGCUGAGCACCAUUCUCGGCCUCAUUAGUUUCAAUUGAAGUUGGUAAANUGUAAGCAUGUGGCAUCAGUGGCACUCAAAUGUGAUAAAGCAAGGGGUAGGGACAUCGGAUGUAAAAAAUCAUCCAUAAAACAAUCAGCAUUUAUCUAUUUAUAGAUUACAAUAACUUGAUUUAAUAAUGGUAACCUGAAUAAAUCAUAACAUAAUAUUCUCCAAACUGUUGUCGUUAAACAAAAACAGUUCAGGCGCAGUUUUAACGAUUCCACAAGACCACUGAAAUAUGGCUGAUACUAAUUUACUAGCACUUCUAAGUCUAACUCUUCUUUUCUCCCUAUAGACAAAUAUUUUUAAGAGAUAACUAUCUCAACUUGGCUGAGCACCAUUCUCGGCCUCCUGAGUGACACCGUCGUUAUUUUCAAUUGGAUUUGGUAAUGGAAACACUUCUGCCACCAUAUCCACUAAUUCAUCAAUAUUUUCUCCAAAUCGUCCAUCACAAUCUUCCACAAUCUGCAAACAAAUGCCAAAUUUUACAUUCAUAUAUAAUGAACAUUUAAAUUUUUAAUACCAGCAUGAUAUCAAAACAUUCAACCAGGUAUAUAAGUGGGCCUAUGAAAAUUGCACUUUUAUUCAAUUGAUUCAAAUUCAUUCACUUGAAUAAUAUACGUCAAGUAGUUCAGGUUGGGAAUUUUUGCUGGACAAGAUCCUUUCUACAUCAAACAUAAAGACUAAUAAUAGAUCCGCACACAUUCAAGCAUAUGAGGGCUGUUUCUUGUAUCUUAUUUAUUUUAGUAGGUGCUAUUGUGUUUAGCUAGUCUGCUAGUGCACCAGUUUGUUGCUUAGGUAGCUGCCUGCCUUGUUGGCCACUCUACUAAUUUUCAAUUGACCUUUGCCCAGAAAAGGGUGCAUUUUACUCAAGUACUCAUCUACAGGAAUUAAGUUUUUUAAAACGAAAGUUAUUUGUUUAUCUCCUACAUACCAUUUUGGUUCUCUGCUAUAUAACCUCCUCACAGCAUUUCAGACAACCCAAUGAUGUGCAUACAAAAAGCAACUAUACAUAUGGGCAAAACAUUUUGCAAUCAUGAAGACCAGAGGUACUGGCAUAACAAGAGAAAAAACAAAUAAAAAAGUUAUCGGUCAAUCGAGGGAUCAACUAGAAAACUAAGGAAAAUGUUUCAAAUAGUAAGUUUACCGAGUCAAGUUCAACAACAGAAGAAGGUCUAAUGUUAAUGACAUUAAUGAUCUCAGCUUUUGCAAGUUUAAAUUUCUCACUCCUUGAAAUGAAAUCAGUGAUGCUCUCUUUUGUUUGAUAGCGAGCCACACUUUGCUCCAAAUAAUCAAAAACCUGAAUUAGAUAAUAAAAAUUAAUCAGCAAUUCAAUAAUAUAAUACUUUUAGCAAAAUUAUAUGAGAAAUGUUUUAGUGAAUAUGCUAACCUUAUAUUCUGAUGGUGCUACAGGAGCUAUAACACGUGUUGCGUCUUUUCCAGCCCCCCUAGACCGCAGGAAUUCAAGUACCUCAAAAUUUGUAAGUGCCCCAGCAUUGGCUUUUAAUCUGAAAAAUGUCCAAAAAUACUUGAUCACCACUAAAAGAACUGACAAUAACUGUUAAUGCUUAAAGCAAGUGCCAAAAGAAUGACCAAUAAGUCAAAAAGUUGAAUUACAUACAUCUUCAUCAGGAAUCCAAAAGUUGCCCUUUCAGUUCCUGGUUAUCACACUUUAUAUGUAGAGAAGCAAGAGCAAGCUGCCCGCCUGCACCAAAAUAAAAAUUAGCAAAUUGGGCGUCUUGAAUGGAGUUACGCAUUUUGCAUAUAGUAUAAGUUAACCGUAAAUUUAUAAUAUAAACAAUCAACUGAGAGAUAGAGCAAUUGUUAUCCAGAGUUUCAAUAAAUGUCAAUAGACAUAAGGUAAUACAUUCAUGAUUCAACCCAUCAUUCAUGGACGCAAAAAAAAAAAUCAUCUCUCGUGGCCACCCUAACUAUUAAUUGUACUUAACCCACUAAAAAACUUAUCCCAAUUCUAUAUAAUAAGUAACAUAGAAACUUGAAUCCAACUAUAUAUACUCCCCCCCAGAUUCUUGAGAUUAUGCAGCCUUUAAGGAUUUUAUAACCUAGACUCUAUAAGGAUUUGGCUCUAAGAAGGCACAAUAGAACGAAAAAUAUGAAGAUAAAAUAUAGGCAAAGAACCACUAUCAUCUAGUAACAAUCUCAAUGAAGCAAACAUUUAAUGUCAUUUUAACCUACCUCAAUUAACUAUCGUGUAUUACAUUGCUAAUGCAAUAUCUAUACCAAACAGACCAAAUUAUAAAAAGAGCAGCCAAAAUUCACGAGAUUAAGCACAUGGACAAAAGACAAAAGUUUUACGGACACAGAAAGGUCAACUUAUAGCUACUGCAAUGAGCAAAAACAGCAAGUGUGUUCAACUGAUGCCCUAGGAAAAGCAAUUGCUAUGCUAAUGACAAAUUUUGAAACAAAACACGGAUAACUCCCAUAUUGAUAAAAGACCUACUGAUUAAGUCUUUGAGCACAAACACUCUAUAACACAUAGACUGGUUUUAGAUCACUUCCAACACCCACAGUAUACAAAAAGAUCCUAAACAUUACGAUAUCUGAUUAACUAAUUUUACUACUAAUAAGAAUUUAAAGGCUCAAAAUCUUAGUCAAAACACAAAAUACUUACCUCAUACCACUGGAUAGUUAUUGAAAGCCUUUAGUCGACUGUAUAUUAUAUAUAGAGAGAGGGGCAAGUAAGAACUCCGAAAGAAAACCGGGAAAAAAACCCUAGGGUUUUGAGCUCUCUGUUUUAUUCAUAUACGCACAACCAAAUAUUGAAUCACUAAUAUUCAUAUAUAUCAAAACUUUACAUGUAAAUUUGUAAAUAAAGAUGAAGAUAGUGAAUCUUGAUUUCAUUCCUUGUAUUAUUGUAUACAUCAUUCCACGACUCAAAUCCUAAAACAAAUUGACCUUUAUGAAGACACGGACAGCUGUGAUUUGAAAAAAUCAUCGGACCGCCAACUCUACCCGUUCAGCAUAAACCCUAAUUUUACCCCCAAUUCAACGUAAAUCCCAGAUUGGAACCCUAAUUUCGUUUGAUAACUCUAAUUUCGUUUGGUUUUAUACUUGAUACAAAGCAACAUAUGAUUCACAUAAAGUAACAAAAUUCAAAAUCCAAUGGAGUGGCAGAAAAGGGCUCUAAACAAACCUGUAUGUAGAGCCGAACGGAAUGGCGGUGUGUUUGUGUUGGUUUGUUUUGGACGCACCGUGCUGAAUAACCGCGGUCGUUCUGGACCCAACGUAGUAAUUAAAUUUCCGCGUAUUCGAUACAACGGAGCAGAAGCUGUUUGUUGCAUAAACCUUGGCAUUUGUCGGGCAUCACUUGUAAGUAUUUAUAUUAUUAAUUAUUAAUUAUAUUUCUUAAUAAUUUUUAGGUAUUAUAUGUUUCAAUAACUUUAAUUUUUAUCAUAAUCUUUUUUCUAGAUAAAAUUUUAUAAUAAACGUAAUAUGAUUAUUAAAUUUAUAUUUAUUUAUUUUUUAAAAUUAAUACUAUAAAAGCAUUUUAAUGUAUUAUUACUGUGAAUUUUAGCUCUUCGUAUGAAGAGAUAUUAUUAUCAUAUUUGUCAAUUCUAAUCGAUCAAAGUUGGAAUUUAACGGCUUUCAUAAAAAAAUAUAAAUAAUAGAGAUAUAACUAAAUUAUAAAUUAUAUUGAUAUUUACGUAAAAUAGUAUAUUAUGGUAUAAAUAAAUUAUAAUUUAAUAAUUGAGAUGUUGUAUAUUUUAUUCAGUAUUGUAAAAAGUAAAAGCAUAAUUCAAACUUAGUCAAUAAAAUCGUGAAAUAAGGAUUCACCAAAAAUUAACUUGAUUGCUUAUAAAUUAGUCAAAUAAUUAAAUAAAUAAUCAGAUAUUUCAUCAACCCGAAUAUGAAUUAAUUGGAUUAAGUAUCAAUUUUUGGGAGGCGCCGCCAUCCAACAACCACGCAACAAUAUCAAAAUCGUGACAAAUAAUGAGGACUCAAUUUGACUUCCAUAACGAGGCAAAAAAACCCACCAAACUACAUUACAUGGAUUAAUCGGAUUAAUCAUCAAUUUUUAGGAGUCAACUCUAUCCAACAACCACGCAUCAAUACCAAAAUCAGACUCGUCACAAGACGGUUUCAAAACAGUAGUACAACUAACAAAUAAAAAGUCAUUACUAGAUUGGAACAAGCUCAUCUUCAUUGAAUAGUUUGAGAAUCGAUCUUAAAAAAAUCAAAAUAAUUUUAUAUUUAAGAUGAACGUUUUCUAACAUGCACAAUAUUAGGCAGCUCAAAUUAUUUUUUCAAAAAUAUUUUCAAAUGGACGACUUAUCAAUUUCAUCGAUUAUAUUGGUGAGGUUGAUGUAAGUUAAGAAAAAUUCACAUGCUUCGAUAUUCAGCGAUUUGUUUUAAAAAUAAAAUAUUGCCAACCUUACAUAUUCUUUACUAGGGUAUCACUGUUCAAAAUGCAGCUUAACUGACUUACUGAGUGCCUGUUCGGAUACCGGAAAUAAGUGCUUUUUUCAUAAUACGGCGGUUUCUACUUUUCUUGACUGAUUUGUAUAAAAAGCUAAAGAGCACUUAUAAAAAAAAAAGUUUAAUUAUCAGGUUGGUCACUGAAGUGGGUUUAAUGUAUCAAGUCGGUCACUGAACUCAAAACGGUAUCAAGAUGGUCACUAAAGUCACCAUAAAAAUCAAACAAGUAUCUUGAAAUAUGAGUUCAAGCAGUAAAAACAUUAUUUAUAAAGUUUUACACAUUAUUUUAAAUGUUACCACAACCAACUAAAAGGUCAUGACUUCUAGUAUUCAAAAUAAUAUAUUUAUAUUUUAUCAAGUUUAUUUAUUAUUUAUAUUUUAUUAUAUAGUUAUUUCUUUGUUUUAAUUAAAAAUAAAUAAUAAAUAAACUUAAUAAAAUUUAAAUAUAUUAUUAUAAAUAUUAGAAGUCAUAACUUUUUACUUGAUUUUGGUAACAUUAAAAAAUAAUAUGUACAACUUCAUAAAUAAUAUUUUUACGGCUUGAACUCAUAUUUCAAGGUACUUAUUUGAUAUUUAUGACCACUUCAGUGAUCAUCGUGAUACCGUUUUGAGUUCAGUGACUAACUUGAUAUAUUAAGUCCACUUCAGUGACCAACUAGAUAAUUAACCCUAAAAAAAACUGGGAGUGCUAAUAUUUCUUUCAUAACUUAUACUUUUUUUCCGAGCAUUUCAAUCACUUGUGGGUCUUAACUUGUUUCUCACUUUUACUUUAGAUAAGAAGCAUUUAUUUUAAACCCAGCAAAACGGCCUCUAAAUUACACAUGUCAGAAAAAUUGUUGAUUACACACGCACACGUGGGGAGUCGAACUCCCGACCUCCCGCAAGGGGGUACAAGAGCUCUACCACCACACCAACACCUGGUGGUGGUAUGUUCAAACAUUUUGAGGUCCUGCUGAUACUUUGAAUCGUGGACGCAUCUCUGACACUCCAUUGCCACAAAAGAUUCAUGUGGGUCCACCAAAAUAUGAACACAACAGCAGCCAUAAACCUUAAAAACAACUAAUGUAAGAAAAAAUUCACCCAUACAGUACAGAAUCUCCAAGGAAAAUGGAAAAACUCUGCAACAGCUUCGAUCUUAACUCACCGCAUAUUUCCCCAAUUCCAACUAAGUUCCCGACAAGACCCACUUCAUCACUUACUUAUACUCAUAUCUCUUGCUCAAAUCGUGGUAAACACCAUAAAUGUAUUGUACUAAAAAAGAUUACUACAGCCAAGAAUUAUUCAGGUUCACAACUUGAUAAGACUGGAGAUUCUGUUGGGUUGAAUCAUGGUUUUAUAAAGGGUAUUGGGAGAGGACUUGUUGGAUUUGCUGCUGCUUUAGCUGUUUGUGUUGAUUCUCCAGCUUUAGCUCAGUCCUUAACUGUUGCAUUCCCUGUUUCUCCUGCUCACGAGGUACUCAAUCAAUUGGGCUUUCUCGAUUUUGUGCUAUUUCAACUUAUAUAAUUGUAAUUUGUUAAGAUUUAUUUGUUGGGGUAGGUAAAUACAGUGCAGAGAACUCUUGUGGAGGCUUGGAGUUUGAUUAGGGAGACCUUUGUCGAUCCUACUUUUAAUCAUCAAGGUGAAUUUAAAUGAUUUCAUCGAUUGAUUCUUGUUAUUUCGUUAUGAGAUAUUUGAGAGGAAAGGUUGUACAUGUUUAGCAGGCAAGUUGUGGUUGAGAUAAUUCAAGAUUUUUGGUUUUGUAGAUUGGGAUAUGAAGCUACAACAAACAAUGGUUGAAAUGUUCCCUCUUAAAUCAGCUGAUGCUGCUUAUAAUAAGAUCAGUGGGAUGCUUGCUACCCUCGGGGACCCCUUUACACGAAUUAUUAGUCCUAAGGUCCCUUCUUUUUAGAGUUUCUACAUCCUUAUGAAUUUUAUAUGCAUGCUGUUUCUUUUUGCCGCCAUUGUGCAAAAAGCCUUUUUUUGUGCACUUUGUCUGUCAAUUAUUGGAGAUGAAUUUAUUUUAUGCAUAUUGUUUUAUCACCCAUUUGGCCAUUCCUAACAAUCCGAGCUCAGUUGUUAUAAAAGCUACUUCUUUGUUAUGUUUUUCAUUUCCGCUAAAGUGAUUCUGACCUGCAGGAGUACCAAAGUUUCAGAAUUGGUAGUGAUGGUAAUUUACGUGGAGUUGGUCUAUUCAUAAAUGUCAAUCCAAAGACAGGGAAUCUGGUUUGUGAAUUAAUCUCUAAUUUGCAAAUUAUAACUAUAUUCUAGUUGCAUGGAACAAUUUAUAAAAUUUUGAGUUGCCAAGAGUAGUACUAGUAAUAACUAAUAAUUAUAAAAUCGUGUACUGGGUAAUAAUUUCUGUAUUCAUAGUGAAUAUUUCAAGCAUUAUGCAGGUCGUUAUGUCAUGCGUAGAGGGUAGCCCAGCAGAUCGUGCUGGCAUACUUGAAGGAGAUGAGUUAAUGGAAAUUAAUGGUAUGUUAAUGUUCAACUCUUACAUUUCAGUCUGGAACUCAAAGGUGGAUGUCUAAGUAGCAUGUAUUAUGUAAAAUCUUUCCCUCUAACAAAAACUGCUAAUUUAAUAUAUUCAGAACUUAUUUCAAAUCUUCCUCAGUCCUCACAGGAAUAAAUCUUUUAUUAAUGGAGUUACUAGACCAUCAUAUCGCAUGAUUUCUUUUGUUCCAACAAUUUGUAUAAGCCUCCAGGUGCCUUCUUGAAUAGGCCAUCAUUUGUUAAAUUUGAGAACAAAUAUAAGGCUAUGUUUGUUUCCAAGGACUAGAAUCUCCAGAUUUCAAGAAAUGCAUCUUAAACUCAUUUAAUUAUACUUUAAGCCUUAAAAUAUCCCUAAUUUCUAUAUUGAUCACUUUCUAGUUCAUAUUGGUAAGUAUUUUAGCCACGUUUCCCGGCUUAAAUCAUGCAAAGGGAACAAAUAAGGAUAUGAUAUAGCGAAAAAAUGGAGCGAAUAAGACAAUAGUCUGGGAAUUAUUAACCAUAAGAACGACAUAGUCUAAAUCGACACUUGAAAUUAGUGUUGUAUUUUCUGAACAUAUUUCUGACUCACUAUAAUUGCGAGACAUGAUUGUGGUCGAGCUGCUUUGCAAGACAUGAUAGCGGUCAAGCUACUUUAAAUAUCAGUACUGUCAUGUUGCUAAGAGCUUUUGAAUGUAUUUUUUAUAUAUAUAAAUGAUCAAGAAGGUAUAUAUCUUGAAAUUAUCAAAUACUACAGAAUAUACUAGUAUAGGUUCCUCUUUUCCCUUUAUACCUGUCUAAAAGUAAGGAUUGGAUCGUAUAAACAGCUUAAUAUAAUCACCUAACAAAAAGAAUUGGAGAUAAUGAUGCAAUCUAGAAAUCUUUUGGAAAUGAAGGCAAAAGAGAAAGAAAGAAAGUAGUAUGUCAAGGCUCUCAAAGAUCAAUAGCCGACAACAAGGACCGCUAGAAUCAGGCAUCUUGGUGUAUGUGCUUUUAGUGCUUUUUUAUCCAUGCGAGUAGUUUAUGGUAGAAGAGACACUUUCCAGGUACUAUAUUACACAAGCUAACCAUCUUGUAUGAUCUUCCUGGGACUUAAGGAGAGAGGCUUGAUGGUAUCAGCAGCGAAGGAGCCGCACAGAAGCUCAGAGGGAAAGUUGGGACAUCUGUUACAGUAAAAGUUCGCAGGGUAAAAUCGCAAUCCAUUACAAGCAAUCCAUAUAAUGUUUUUUUAUAGUUCAAGAAUGUGAAAUAAAUUCGAAGACAGAUUUUCUAAAUGGUUUUUCAGAAAUCAGCAUCUUGUUUGUGUUGUGAUUUCUAAUACAUGAAAAUUAAUGAACCAGAAGGGUACAUUAUAUCGACACAUUUCACAUUUGGUUAUUAUUAGUUAACUAUUACUGGUCUAACAAAUGUAGCUUUGUUUUAGUUAGUGAGCUCUUACAAAUCAAUUCAUAUAAUUUCAUAUGUAUCUUGGCAGAACCUUUAGAUGUCACACAAGUUCUGCAUGACUUACAAUUUUUUUUUUGAAAAAGUCAUCCAAUGUGAAUGAUAAUAUGGUUAUGAUUUACACCAAAAAUUGCUCUAAUUAGUAUUGUGGUGAUUCUGUUUUUUUCCUACAGGGCUCUAAAUCAGGAGGUGGUGAUAAUUUGAGAGAGGUAGUGCUUAUUAGCUUUUGUCGAGUAUUUUGUAGUCUAGAAUUUUAUAGGAUUUUUCAAUACAGUGUCAUAUUGAAGCAUGUGUCGUUUGUGAAGGUAAAUCUACCUCGCGAGUUUAUAAAGCUUUCCCCUAUAUCUAGUGCUGUCAUUCCUCACAAAACUCCUGACGGCCGUCUGUCAAAGACUGGUUAUGUGAAGUUGCUAGCCUUCUCUCAGGUACUUAUGGUUGGUAUAUAUCUUAUUGGCAAUUACUUAGAAGCUUUAUUACAAACAUAAAAGCAGUGUAAGUGUUUAUUAAACUCUGCAAUCAACUCAGAUUCUUACUUUUUAAAUGACAGACUGCUGCUUCUGAUAUGGAAAGUGCAGUUACUGAGUUGGAGAAUCAGGGAGUACAAUCAUACAUACUCGAUCUUCGCAACAACCCGGCAAGUUUCUCAUUUUUAAAUUGCUUCUAUUUUCUUUUACCGAACUAUUUCUCUGAAUUAUUCGUAAUUCUAUUCUUAUACAAGUUAGUUUGCAGGGAGGUCUAGUAAAAGCAGGCCUUGAUGUUGCGCAGAUAUGGCUGGAUGGUGAUGAGACUCUUGUGAACACUAUUGAUAGGGAUGGAAAUAUGUUACCUAUCAACAUGGUCAAUGGGCAUGCUAAAACACAUGAUCCACUUGUUGUACUUGUAAGUUUGGUGCAUUCUAUAUUUUUCUUUUUCAAAGCAUAUCCCAGCCUCUACGUGUUGAGCUGCUCCGAUAACAAGUUAUGCGAAUUGACGUCAAUAUGUAGCCCUUUCUGUAAUUUAUAUGGCGCAGAGCAGUAAUAAAUAAUAAACGUCUUCACAGAAAAGCUGAUAAACUAAAACUUUCUGUUCAUAUUUUCAAUACAAAAAGUGAAGUUAUUGUUUCUACAAAUUCUUGUGUUCUUCAUUUUCUUCUUUUUAAUCGUGAAACAGGUAAAUGAGGGCAGUGCUAGCGCGAGUGAAAUCCUUGCAGGUGCACUGCAUGAUAAUGGCAGAGCUAAACUUGUAGGACAUAGAACCUUUGGGAAAGGAAAAAUUCAGGUAAAGUUCUUCCCUGUCAGACAUGGCAUACAUUGUAUUAACUUUGUAGAUGAAAAUGGUGGCAUGUAUUUUUAUUACAAGAGUCAUCAAGCUCUUGCAGAAAACUUUCCUGAAAACUGUCAUUGAUUUUUCUAAAACAUGCAUAUAUGGUUGGCAUCACAAGCAAGAAAUGUAGACUAUAAAUUAGAAAGGACAAAAACAGAAUUUGAUGUAACGAAAGUCGAAAUAUGCAGAAAAGUUUAGUUUUUUUUUAAUUGAAAAAAAAAAAGGCCAUCCCAAUUGCCCCAUAUAGCUUUUGCCAAAUGCCAGCAUGAGCACCAGUAAGUUUGAUUCUAUUUGCUUCAUGGAUAGUAGUCUUACCACACAGCAGGAGAAAAUAAAUACUUAAAUCACAUUGAAUUUUUUUCCCACUUUUCUUUUGACUUAAUCCUUAUGAUCACCAUAUAAUUACUGGAAUGCAGAGUGUUACAGAAUUGGAUGAUGGAUCAGCUUUAUUCAUAACAGUUGCAAAGUAUUUGUCACCGGCACUUCAUGACAUUGAUCAAGUAGGUAUAGCACCUGAUGUUCAGUGCAGCGCGGAGAUGCUAAACUCUCCUAGAGAGUCUUUUAUGAAAAAUAAGAGUAGCACAUCUUUGGAAGCAGAUUCUUGUAUCAUGGUGGCAGAGCAUGAACUAGAAGUUCAAGAAUCCAAAGGUUCUGCCUCUUGAACAAAUAUUCUUUUGCCCUUCUACUCAGUCAUAGUUUUGACUUGUAUAUAAAUGUGUAUAAAAAUUUGAAAUUCGACCAUCGUGUGCAAAAAAAAAGAAGAAAAAAGAAUAGAAGUGAAUUUAUUGAAACAUUAGCAAUAAAGAACAUCAAGUACAAAAGUCGUUUAAAACAAUAAUUAAAAGCAAUAGUUGUACAUGUUUUGGGUGAUUCUCGCUUCUCAGUGCCUCAAGAGACCACAGAGAGAGAUGAGCAGAGAAGUUCCGAUGAACAUGGUUGACACCGGGAGUGCAAACGAGGCGCCAACAUCAGGUGAAGGUGCAGGGGCCAGCUGAGCUGAAACGGCAACAGCACUGGAGACAAUGGCUAACAUGAUGAUGCUGAUAAGAUGAGCCAUAUUAGAUUGAUGAAUUGUAAAUGUGAGAGAUUAUGUGCUAUGUUUCUCUGCAGCAGGGAUCAAUCUGAUGAAGGAUAUGAUUGUUUGGCGAGGAUUGUGUGUAUUUAUAGCAGCAAUGUGCAAUAUGAUCAAAGGAGAAAACAAUGUGUGUGAAAUGUGAAGCCCACAAAUAAUAAUGGUAAAUGAUUAGUUUAGCGGCGAACAACUCACAAUAAAAUUUUGUUUCUUUUUUGGUGAGUAUCUGUCAUUGCAAAAUUACCCAACUGGCUGACAACUCAUUAGUCAUAGCAGAACAUGCACCAGCACCAAUAUCUCAUUUUUCUAUUCUCGUUGAGAUUUGAUAUUGCAAAUGAAUGCAUAUAUUCUCCAUUCCAUUAUCAUGACAUAUGCUUGAUUUUUAUUUUUUAGUCUUUGAAACAAAGUAAGCAUGUAAAAAUAUGUAAAAAGAAUAUUCAAAUUACAAAAAACACACUUGAACAGAGAAAAAGAAAAUGUAUAGAAAUAUAUUUUGCAAAAAUGGAUCUGAAAGAAGUUGCAUUAAGAAGUAAUUUAUAAGAAUUUUACAACCGGGGAUUUCAUAUAUGUAGAGAUCAAAAUAAAUUUACCAAAUCAUAAAUAUCAUCCGAAGAAUUAAUAAAAUAUUUAUAACCGGAGGUUUUAGAUAUAUAAAGAUCAAAAUAGAUUUAUCAAAUGAAAAAUAUCAUCGGAAGAAUUAAUAAUAAUGAUUAGUGAAAAUGUGUUGUACAUGUAUCGUAUCAUAAACAUCUAAUGAUUUAUUAUGAUAGGCUCAAGUAUGUUGUCAAGUAACUCAUUUUAUUUUAUUAUAUUAUCUGAAAUUUUGUCCUAAAUUCUCUGUGAGUAGCAUAUUAUAUGAAUUAUAUGCAAAAGUCGGUAAUCAUCUUUGUAUAACUCAUAUAAUAUAAUAUACUACAGAUUUUUCGUAAACUCUUCUCAAGUAAUAUUUUGUCUUAAUUUUUAUAACAUUGAUAUUGAAACGAAUUAAAUCAAGUAGAAAAUUGAGAAAACGGAAUCAAAAAGACAAUUAAAUCAAGUAGAAAAUCUUAUUACUUGCCGUUACAGAGAAGGUAGAAACGAAUGAAUGAUGAAAUACAUAUACACAGCAAAAAGAAUAGAUAAGCAAAAGCGCAGUACAUACAAAUCCAGGACAACCCGGGGUAAUUAAUUACUAUAAAAGAUGAGUAAUAAAUUUAAAGACGAAGCAGGGAGAAAAGCAGCGAGGCUCCGAGUAAGGCAGCAGAAGCGGGCAGUGAAAAUGCGGCUCCAACAUCAGGAGAAGGUGCGGGUGCCUCCACCUGGGCUGACACUGCAGCCACGCCAGAUAACACAACAGCUGCAACCAAGACCUUGUUCAUCAUCUUGCUCUGAGCCAUUUUGAUAAUUAUAUGAAUACAAUAAACUUGUGAAUUGAUGUGUGAAUUGUGAUGGUGUGAGAAAGAGAGGGGGAAGGGUGAUGUUUAUAUAGAGAAUUACACGAGUAUCGAAAGAAUGAAUGGAGUCAUAUGGGAGGAUGGUGAAUGUGGAACGGCUAGCCAGCUGUGUUUAACAGCUGGAAGUGGUUGGUAGUGCGUUGUGUGUUUGUCUUUUGCUUUGCUUACAGCGCACAUGCUCUCAGGCCUGAUGCCCCCGCUAACGGCGCCGCUGUUUGUGUAGUAUUGUAAUACUAAUACAGCAGAAUCAGAGUACUCAUAAGUAUUUAAAAAAAAAUCUAAAUUUUUCGUCGGCUGAUGUGAUAUACGAAUAGUUGAUUUAAUCUAAUGAUUUGUGUGAAAGUAAAAAAUUUAUUAUUAUUUUAAUAUGGAGUAUCUAGCAUUUUUUCAAAAAUAAAUCGAGAAAAAAUAUUAGUCUUGAAUUAAAGUGUUCUUUUAAAUUUUUGGACCUGUAAGCUGAAUUGUGAAAAAAAAAAGAUUAAAAUAAUUUACGAAAUUUGAUUAAAGAAAAUGCAUAUUUGUACGUAUUUAUGUUAAUGUAUAAUUUGAAAAUGAGAGAGUUUUAUUAAAAAUUCUUAAGAAGAGAUUAUUCUCUAUUAUUAGAGAUAUUCAGUACCUACCGCGUCAGAAUCUCGAGCAUUAUUAGAGCUGGAGAAAUGAUUAAUAUUUUGAUUAUGAGUAGUGUCCAUGUGAAUGACAAAGCCCGCUAUUAUCGCUUCUUAUUUGUCUUCACUAGACUCUUGUCUGUCAAUCUCUUUAAUUUCCUUAGGUUUCGAGAUAUAACAACUCUUCGAUCAGUACAAGACUUCUGCUUAUCAAGCUUACUGAACUUCCGUAAUCCAAAUAAGUUAGGCGGCACAAGUUGCGAAGAAGUGAGAGUGCAACUUGUGGCCGAUGAAGGGAUCUCGAUAUUUCUCGAAUUUUACCACGUUGAUUGAAUUAAUUAGAAUGGUGGAUAAAACUUUUAUUUUUUUUAUAUAUAACUGAUUAUUUUUUCUACUUAAAAAUAAUAUGCUUAAGUUGUAAUAUUUUGGGGUUAAUUGAUGUAAAUAUAUAUAAAUCAAAAGGACUUAAAAACACAUUUCAAAAUAUAUAUAAAAUUUUAUUUUAAAUUAAUUAUACAAUCAUACUUUAUAGCAGAACUGCGUACUAAGCAGUUAAAAAAAUAAUAUACAAUUAAAUAAGGCUAAUAUACGUGAUCAAUGAUAAUUUGAAUUGAACAUUGAAUUUUAUCAUUUUGAUUAGAGAAAUGAAUACAAAUGCCAUCAAUGGGAUUUGAAUCAUGACCAGCUUUGAUUUUGAUUUUUGAUUUUUGAUUAGGAGAAUGAAUACAAAUGUCUUCAAUGGGAUUUGAAACCAUUUUUAAUAAUCAAUUUUAUUACAACAAAUCAAAACAAUUACCGUACUUGUAUAUAAGACGCAACUACAAUUUUAUUAUGAAAUAACCCGUAUCAAUAUUUCGAUUUAGAUAUAUACUGGUAGGGGUAACCCCAACACAAGCCCAAGCUCCCUUGUUUAUCGUCUUAAUUAUUUAGAAAAAUAAAAAUUUCAUGUUUAAACUUUUAAUUAUACUAGCCUUACACCCGUGCAAAGCACGGGCGACUAUAUAAUUUAAAACUUAUUAUUAAUUAUUAUAUAAUAUUAAUAUAUAUUAAUGAUAGUAAAUUUACUUUUUUUUAUUUAUUAAUUAAUUAUAAAUUAUAUUUAAAAGAACAAUGGUAGAGUUUUUAUCUUGUUGUAUAUCAAACUAUUUAGAGAUGUAAGCGUGUGAGAACUCUACGUGUAGCAGACUUUUACGUGUAGCAGACUUUUAGUUAUAAGGUGAAUCACUAAACCAACAUGACCAAACCAAAAUUUUGUAGGACGACAAAUUAUAUCCAUGUUGCCUUAUUAUAGAAGUAAGAUAAUAUAAUUUUAAAAAUAAAUAAUAAAAUUAUGUAAUUAAUGGAUCUUAAAUUAUGUACAUGUAAAAUCAACCACUCAUAUACCAUACAAAUAAUGGAUCUUAAAUUGUGCAUGUAAGGUCGAUAAACUCAUACACGGUAAGAUAGAGCAUCUACAACACGAUAAGAAGAGAGCUUCUACAGCCGUGUUAGCUAAAAAUAAUUGAUUUAAAUUGCACCUAUAAAGGAUAUAGGUAGUAAAUUUGUUUAAUUUGUGAGAGAUUUUAUCUUUUUCAUUUGGUCGAAAUCAGAAAGCAUUUUCACAGAUUUGAUAAGUAUUUGGAAACAGAUUUUAGAGAUCUUAAAGUUAAGAAAGAAACUUAUCAACAGAUUUGCACAGACAAUAGACAAGAGGGAUAUAAACUAAGAACUUUAUUAAUAGUAGCAAAAGAAUACAAAUGAAUGAUACAUAACCAAACCCAAACUCAGGCACACACCAGGGUGCGCCGUGUAUAAACUAUAAAUAAAUAUAAUGUAAUAAUAUCAACAAACGAAGCCCAGCGGAUAAAAAUUCAACAUCUCAGUGACGGAACAGAGCAACCAGGGAGAAAACAAGAGAGGUUCCCACGACAGCCGUUGAAACAGGGAGAGAAAAGCCUGAGCCCAUGUCAGGUGAGGGCGCUGGAGCCAUUUCUUGAGCUGAAGCCGCGGCUACGACUACGGCCAGGACUACGAAGAACAGGUUCAUCAUUUGCUGAGCCAUUUGAUUUUCGAGAGAGAAAGAAACUGAGAGAGAGAGAGAGAGUUUGUUUUUUGAGUUGGGGAUUGAGAGUGUUGAGAUGAAUUGAAAGAGUGGGAGGGGAGUGUGUAUUUAUAGAGGGAUGGUGUUUUUACUUAACGAUUAAGAGUGUGUGAGCUGUGAGAAGAGAGUAGUGGGAAAAGGUUAAGGAGUGACAGCUGGGGGUGGAGUAAAAUAUUGAAAAUGGGAAACAGCGUAACAGCUAGAUUUUAGAAUGUGUGAAAAGCAACAGCUACAACGUGGGCGGUGAGUUGGACCUUUCAACCACCGGGACCCACUCCUACAACGGUCGGUCAAGCCUCGGUUCAACAAUUAUAUUCCACAUACAUUUAUGAGCCAUAACGUUACAUGUUUGGUACUCCAUACAAUAUUGCCGAUAAUUAUUUUGUUAGAUUACGAAAAAAGUGGAUAAAAUUUGUAUCGUGACAUAAUAUUGAGGUAAAUUGAUUUUUGCUAGAAGUUGGAUUUUAAACUGGAUCAUAAUAUAAGUAAU
rnacentral:lncRNA from 1 species